rnacentral:rRNA from 1 species
UACGUAGGUGGCAAGCGUUUGUCCGGAUUUACUGGGCGUAAAGAGCGCGCAGGCGGUCGUUCAAGUCGCGUGUGAAAGCCCCCGGCUCAACUGGGGAGGGUCACGCGAUACUGAUCGACUCGAAGGCAGGAGAGGGUAGUGGAAUUCCCGGUGUAGUGGUGAAAUGCGUAGAUAUCGGGAGGAACACCAGUGGCGAAGGCGACUACCUGGCCUGUUCUUGACGCUGAGGCGCGAAAGCGUGGGGAGCAACAGG